UCUGUAUUCUACGUCAAUCAAGCUUGCACUUCGAGCACUUUAUCACUCGAAUAUUAUUUUAAAUCCUUUUCAACAGUAAAAAUAAGAAAAAAGCAGAAAUAUAAGAUUUGUGGCAAGGUACCCAACUCAAAUGUUUUCAAACAAAACAGUCCUUCGAUAUUUAUUCGAUUCACUCUCCCUCUCCCUCUCCCUCUCCCUCUCUCCCUCUCUCUCUGCCUUUCUUGCAAUGCGUUCAUUCAAGUGUUGCCUUGUUGAAAAAAUGAAAAUUUAAUUAAAUUUAGACAAAAUAUUUCGGAAAAACAUCCUGUAGCUAUUGCACAAGCUAACAUUGGGGAUCCACAAAGAUUUUGCGCGCAAUGCACAAUUCUGUUUUUAGACAUUUCCCUGGCGAUUAUUAAUGUACGCAUAUCAUUUAUUGGUCAAACUAUCGGUUUUCAAUCUUCAAAUUCUCGACAAGUAGAACAUAUGCAGUACCAGCAGCCUUCUUAUUUGUGUUGGACUGUUAUCAAUUCACUGGGCUUAUUGAAAUUUUUGUCGUAUCCGUAUGGCCAGUUUGCUCUCUUGGCUGUUCUAUAUUACAAUUUAAUCAAAUAUGCCAUGCUGGCUGCUCAAUUCGAACAUUUUUCGAACCGUUAUUGGCUGGCUAUACACACAGGUGAAUUAGAAAAAGCCGUGUCAUAUUGACACUGAGCUCGCUGCAUCCUGACAUGACUUUCACGCUGAAUGUUUCUCGAAUCGUUGCCAAACAUUAUGUUCGUCUCUCGUAUUCCAUCUAGUAAGUGUACAAUUGAUCCUCCGAAACUUGAUAUAUAAGAUACCACAACCCCCCCCCCACGGGGCCCCACCAAAUACACAAAUGCAUAUUUCAUGUUGUUGAUGUUUUUGAUGACGAAAUGCAAAUAAACUCAAUUUCAACCAUAAGACAAAUCUUAAUCUCUUCCUCUCUCAUGAGGAAAUAAUCUCACCAAAAACACUGAUAAUUUUCAUCUGUACAGGCAAACAAACAAAUUACUACAUACGUAUUUUAUAAAUAUGAGUAGUAUCUCAUUAAUGUAGUGAUCGAAAUUUUCCUCCGUAGAAAACCAUUCAUAUCAAACAGAAACUUCUAAGAAAUAAAUCACAAACAUUCACAAAAACAAAACCUACAUACAGUGGCAAGUCCACAUUUACCCUCGAAGAGAUUGCACGUCACGAAAAUGGAACAACACAAAAUGUCAAAGACAAAAUAAAAACACACAACAGAAAAAGCAAGCAACAACAACAAAAAUCCACAGUGUAAUAAAAUAAUAUAAAUAGAACUCUUCUUUUGUACAGCAAUUUCUCUAGUGAUGAUAACAUAUAUUUUUAUCGGUUAAUUUUUAGUGUAUUUUAAGCACUCAAAAAAAAAAGAAAGGAAGAAAAAACAAGAAGAAGAAACAACAACAGCAUAGAACUAACAAGAAACAAAUUGAAAAUAUUUUUUUAGUAAAUUAACAAUAUUUGAAGAGAAAACUCAGUCAAAUUCUCACACAAAAGUGAAACGAAUAAAAGAUGUCCAAAUCGUUAAUUAAAGUUUAAAAUUUACAAGAAAUUUAAUGUAAUUGCGGGAGAGAUUCGUUAACAAUGGGGAUUAUUUGAAACAAAACAAAAACUGACAUAACGCAAAAUGUUUUAUCUCAAAUUAUAACUCACAACCACAAGGAAUGAAGGAAUGAAAGGAUAACAACAACUCAAAUGGAAAACACACACACACACACACACACAGCAACUCGAUUCGAUUCAAUUUGAUCAAAUAAACUAAGAAUAUGAUAAUUUUGCGGGUAUUAAUAUUAAUAUUAAUAAUAAUGAUCUAACUCAGGAGCAAGUGCAGUCGGCAUUUUGCUCGAAAGGUGCCGAGCGAUAUUCCAGUUGUGCGCGCCUCUGUCAUUAAUAACAAAAUAUUGAAUUACUAUAUGUGUAAUAUUUAAAAGAAAUUUACAAAGAACAAACCAAACGCGUAUUUUUCAAAGAUAAAUUGACCCAUUCUUGGUUUUUCUUCUCUGUUAAAAAAUGACCUCUCGAUAGUAAAGUUUUAAGACGAAAACAGUGUCGAUAGUGGACAGCAUCAGCUCCUCAAAUAAUUAAAAAGUCGCUUCGUCUGGAAAAUUAUUUGAAUGCUAAUUGAACUCACUGUGAAAGAAACACACUGCAAUUAAAAAUGCGUGCUAAAUGGAACACAUGCCAACAGUUUUUAAAAAUCGAAAGCAAAAACAUAAAAUUUUGAUUGUCAAAUAAUGUUGAGUAAACUGCUGGCAGUUUACGAAAGAACGAAACACAAAAAAAAAAGACAAACUAAAGUUACCACCGUCACCACAGAAAAAUACAUUCGAUCUGAGCUCUUCAACAACAAUCCGAUGAAUUUCCGUGAUCAAAAUGUGCUUCGUUUUGUUUCAUUAUUUUUUCAUUGUUAUUUUAUUUUUUGUAUUUAUUUCUCUCAUUAUACACACAACACGUCGUUCUAUAGCCGAAUAGACAAACCAAAUCUAGUGAAUGAAAAACAAAAACUAAAAUUGUAUAAGAUAUAACUCCUUCUUGAACUCUCUAAAAGACGAGACUAUAAUAAUAAUUUAAUGACAAGAGGAAGAAGAAAAUAAAACGAAAUGAAUUACAAAUAGCAACAUAAUUACUAUGUUUUGGUAGGUUUUAUAUGAAAAUAUACAAUUAGAUAUUUAUUCUCUGGACGCAUGUUGUGAACAGAUUAUGAAAUGAGCAAAGUAAGACACCAGCACUCCUAAAAAAAAGGAACAGAAAAAACAAUUCAAAUCGCACAGACACGCUCAUACACGCUAACGAGAACGCAUUAAUAAUAAUUUAUAAAACCAAAAUGAAAUAUGCCUAUUAUUUGUUGAUUGUUGGGAGAAAAAAAGUUGAUGAAAAUUUAGUGAAAAUGAAUAAAUGUUGUGUGUAAGGAAUUCGUUUGUCACUAUAUGCUCAAAUAUAAAGCGAUGCUAUUGUACCUUAAAUCGUUUCUUUUUCAUUAUAUGUGGAGAAUAUCAUUUCAACGCACAAAAAGUUGUAUUAAUCAAAUAUAUUUCAUCAUUUGAAUAUAUAUUUUCUUUGAAUCGAGUCUACGGAAGAGACAGAAAAUCCCUACCAAUGAAGAACAAAAUAUAAUCCAAAUCGCUCUACAUUUAGGCCUAUAGUGAUAUAUCUGAAAAAUUGUGUGCUAUCGGUAAAUGUUCUAGACCAAAAGGAAACUAUUUUUGUUUUUCAAACUCCUUUGUUGCUACUCUUUCACUGCUGGUUGUUUUGUUUUAUUCAUAAACGGCGAAACUUUUGGGUGACAGUUGUAUUUUUUUUUUUCUUCUGAGUAACCAGAACAAUGUAUGCAUCGAAACUGAUAUUCAUUUCGAUAAUUGGAUCAAAACUAUUAUUAUUUUGCAACAAAAAAGAAAGAAAAUUUACUUUGGAAGUUAUGAACUUUACAGAACAAGUAGUGGCAACAAAUAAAUAACAACAGUACACAGAGUACAACACACAUGAAUCAAUAAUUUACUAAGAUUUCUUUGUACCUGGCGUUUUUUUUUUAACAUAAAAACGUAUACAGAAUGUGCACAAUUUUCAACCGUCAUGCUUUCAAAAUAUUUACAACCAAUUUUGUAUGCUAACAUUCAUGUUUGUUACCAACACACAAUGUAGCAAUAAACAUAGCAUUCGAUGCGAGUUAAAUGUCAUGUAAAACAGCUUACAUUGAUGUAAGAUUGACACAAAAGUCAUUUCCUUCAAUUUCGUCGGUAAACAUUUGCGCCAAUAUGUCAUCCAAGUUCGUUUGUAGCCAGGAACGAUUUUUUCCAACGUUCAUAAUCAAUGAUGUAAUAAUAAGCGAAGUUAACUUCAUCGUGGUCGACAAAAAUUUGAAUCGUUUAGCCCACUUCAACUACAAAACUAACAAAACUAACAAAGAGGCUAACCGAAUCACAAACUCAUAUUAUACCGAGCUUGGAUAAUAUUUCUUUAUUAUUGCAACAUUUUGCUGCUAUAUGCUCCAUUAUUUCAAAGGACUACAUACUAUGUGGCAUACGAAUUGCGAUCGAUGAAAAACAGAACACCCAACAAUAUUUGAGUUAAAAAUUGCAAAUUGUUUCACCAGGCUUAGAUAAGUGACGCAUUAAAAAUCCAGAGAUGUAAUAUCUCUUUAAAAAUAUCAAUCGCAGUCUACUCCUUUAGCACAAUUCUACCAAACUGUAUGUUAUUUAUUUAAAAAAAAAAAAAAAAAACGCCCGGUACAUUAAUACACUAUUAUGAAUGUCCAAACUAAAACCAACCAAAAAAUAUAUAUGUAUUUGUUUGUUAGUAUUUAACAGAUGAGAAAGUAUAUGUGAAAGAGAAGAAUUUGUCAAAAAGCUGAGAAAAGGACAAAAAAAAUAAAUAAAUAGGUGACACACACUUAACAAAUAUGAUUUAGAUUGAAAUAGUUUAGGUUUAACAACAAUUGAGGCAAAUAAUCAAUGCGAAUAAGUGAAAUGGCGUGAAGAGCAACUGAAAAGUGAAAUAAUUAUCAUCUUCGGUAAACAAAAAAUAAACAAGAUUUUUACUCCUUUUCUAGACAUGUUUUCUUUUGUACAUUUGAUCGUUUUGUAUUAGAAAAAUUGAACAAAAAGAAGAAAAAAAAAAAAAACGCAAAUUCAUAUUAAACAUGGAUCCAUAAUUCGUAUCGCAUAAUCACGCGUAGAAUAUCCAAUAAAAAAAAAUUCUGCACCUCAACGUUCUCACUACUUUUAUUUUAUAGAUGAUCUGUACUAAGAGAGACGAAUAAAAGUAAGGCCAAAGAUAUGUUCCACCGCGACAACCCCAUCGUGUGAAUUAAGGCAAUUAAAUAAUUUUUGAUGAGAUCCAAACACCAAUAAUAUGAGCACUACACUGUUAGAAAUAAUCGUAAAAUGUUGUAAAAUAUGAAAUUCAUGGUUUUCUGGUAAAAUGUAACAGAAAUUAUGUAAAUUUACCCUUGUAUUGGUUACACAGUUUCUGUCAAAUUCGCACAUUUUAACGGAAGACCGUGAUAUUUCACCAGAUUUUACGGGAUAGCUUCACGAGUAUUUCUAAUAGUGUACUUGAUAUACUACGAGAGUCUUCAUUUGAUAAUAAAACACAAUUCAGGAUGUAUAAAAAAAUCAAUCACAAAACAGCUGCAAAUUAAAAAAAAAACACACACACACACAAAAAGCCUAAAUUCAGGAGCAUCCACAACACAUACAUAUAUGAUAUUGAAAUAUACUCCCACCAAUUUCUUUUUUAUUCAUUCAACUUCUCCGGUUUAUAUUUAUAUUCUGUUUGGUCAAUUGUUCUAUAUGACGAAAAAGCCGACUGAAGUUUUUUUUACUUUUACGCAAACUUUGUUUGCUAGAUAAAGUAUUGGUUUUACUAGCCAAAAUUUCAUGACUCCUUCUCUUUCCGACCACAAAAACUCCACGAAAGACUUCAAAUAGCGCAUAACUGUAAACUAGGCAAUGUAGAUGGGAACAAAUCCUAUCGAUCAAGACCUAUCUGCCCCCACAAAUAUGUUGUUUACUAAGAAAAAUUUGCAAAAAUACGAUGUUUGUAUGGUUUCGUUUGCGUGAGCGUGCCCUUUUUUGUCCAAACGAUAAUUCAAAAAAUUGACGAGAUAAUUGAGAUCCACCAACGCUAAAAGUUUUGUAUCCAAAAAACUUAGUUUAAGUUUGAAGAUGAGCCAUAUCCGGUGUGACCUUGGGGAAAAAAACCUUGAAAAAAUGGUACAUUUGUAUGGGAAGUACUCGAAAGAAGCCUUUUUCAGGGUUUUGGUCAAGGAAAACUGGUAUUAUUUUGCAAAAUUAAUGAUCUGUGAACAACCAAACACCUAUUUCCCCAACAAUUUGAUCCGAAAUCGACAUUUUUUAAAACUUGUUUUUGGAUCCGUUUACUAUUUUUUUUCUUCAAGUUAUACGAUCGUUCGACACAACGAAUUUGAAAACAUUUCUUGGCACAAUGAUAUGCCAGUUACUUUGUGUUGACUACCAUACUUUUUUGCUAGUUGUCUAUCGGUUAUCUGAUACAUUGCUGUUGCCAACAACGAUCCGAAAGCCCUUUGUUCCACGCAAGCACUUCGUAUCGGGCGGUAAUUGUUGAUACAUACCACUCGGUAUUACAUGAUAAUGUGUGGUGUUCAUCAGAGUAGUGUUAAGUAACACCUCCGUUGACGUACAAUGCAUGACGGCCAGUAGUUUCAAAUAUAUAUGCGUUUCGAAAUCAAAAUAUACGUAUAUAAGUUGGUUAGUUCGUCGCCUAGCGAAUUAUAAUUUCAAUCAAAAUGAAAAACUCAAAAUGCAAGAAACCGUAUGAGAACGAGCGUAGCAACACUAAGUUCAUUCACAAAUGCCGGUCUUUGUCUCGUUUCGAUUCGAUAUUGACCGAUAGUGAUAGACCAAUACUAUACCAAUCCACCAAUACACAAAAUUUACUGUGCAAUAAAACGUUGUUUCGUCCCCCAGGUCUCAAAAUCCUGAAUUCCAAAUACGUCUCUUAUAUCCAAGGCUUUGCGAUAGCAUAGCUUAGCAUACAGUAUAUUGAAUGCUGCUUAAUAUACCAGCAUAUCGCGCACACACACAGCUGCCACACACACAUACUUCUCUCGCGCGCAAACGGUUGCGUACACAGACAUCGCAAUCAACUAAAACACAAAUUCUGCUGUGUAUGCAACCGUUUCGAGCGACAGAAGUGUGUGCGAUAGCUGUGUGUAUGUGAUAUGCUGGUAUACUUGACAGAGCAUUAAAUAUACUGCGUAGCCUUGGUUUUAUCUUGGUCAUAGUUCGUACCUACCAAAUCCAUUUGGAUACUUUGCCCAAAAGGUCCGACUGCGAUUAAUAUGACCGUCCAAAAUCACGAUUUUGAGCUGGGAACGAAACAGUGUUAUCUAUCACAGUGAAUAUGUUUCCCUGAUACUCACACACAGUAAACCCGUGUUCUGUAUUGUUGUGACUUAUGGAAUGAUAGCUAUAUAGGUGAAACAGAUAACUGUUGCAUUCAUUCAUACGGACAAUAUGUUGGACUUUGAAGAAUAAUACUCGGAGAUAUUGUAUGAUAGGAGAUACAAUAGAAAAUAACAGUAUACGUUGAUUUCAAUUGAAGGGGAAAAACAGAAAAACACAUAGGUGGAAUUAAACCGACCUGUUGAUUUUGACCGAGGUUAAAUAACACUAAAGCUAUCUGAUAUAUUGAUAAAAUGAAAUUCUCUAACACAAACUCAAAUGAAAGACAUGAACGCACGGUUUAAACAGUUGAAGUGAACAUACAUUGACAGAUCCCAAUAGAGGAUUGUGGUUAAGGUCGCUUGACCAAUUUAGAGCGGAUAGGCCAUGGAAAUGUUGAAACAAUUAGAUGGGAACCACACUGAAAUCUAUGAAUGGGAAGCUAAACUUUGUCUUAGACAUUGAUUCGAAUCUUACUUUAAUUCCAUGGAGCAUUUUCAACAUUUUCAAUAUCUUUCUUGAUAUUUGAUAUACCGAUGCGUGUAGUUUCUGAGAAAAAAAAAUCUCUGGUUUACAUUGUGCAGAAAAUUCAAUUUGGUGUCCAGUUGGUGUUACAUCUCUAGAGUUCCUUUGAAUGGCAUACGUGUUAUGCAAAGCCUAUUCACAAUAAUAAUCGAUGUGGUGCUCUUUUCAUGAGAUACGAGCAUAUGAUUAAACAAAAUAAUUAAAAAAAAAAAAAAAAAUUGUACCUGUGGAGUGAAACGGUGAGCACAUUUAUUUCUGAAUGGCACACAACCGCACAGCACCUGCCUACCUAUUAGAUUGGCUAUUCUCUUUGAUUUUGCCGAUUAUUAUUCCUGUCUCGUUUUUCCCUAUUUUUAUUUCGUCUCACUUACCAUCCCUCUUACGCUCUCUAUCUGUCCACCCGUCUCUGGCCACGGUCACUUCCGCGGACUGUCUGUGGAAUCUACUACACCAUAAAUUAAUAAAGGAGUAUUUUUCGCAUCAAAUUCAACUCAAAUGAAAGACUCAUCCACCUAAUAAUAUAUUUAAAAAAAAAAAAACGGCUUUUAUACUAUCGAAGGGAAGGACACAAGAAAAUCCAAAUUCAAAUUGAAAACAAAAUCUCAUUGAAUAAAAAAAAAUAACAUUUAUUAUAUAUAAAAUAGUUAACAUAUAUAGUUGCCUGAAAAAAGAAUUUAGUCAAGAAUAAGUAUAGGGUGAACUGAGAAAGCUGAAAAUGAAUCAAACCAAAAUUCAUGUAAAAUUAUUUUAUCAUUUGUUGGUUUGGCUCCGAAAUCGUUAUGACGCCAUAAAAAAUGAAGGGAGAGAGAAAAAAAAACGACAUUGGGUUAAUCAAGAGAUUUUUACCAAGUGGAUCGAUCCAACUAAUUUACAAACCAUACCUGUGGCUGCUCGCAUUGAUUUAACAGAAUGAAACCAAUAUUUUUUAAUACUUUUUUUCAUCUUCUUUAUUGCCGUUGGGAUAAAAAAAAAAGCACAACAAAUCAUAUAACACCAAUCCGAUUGCAUUCACAUUUUUAAUAAAUUGUCUAUUGAAAUAGAAAAAUAAACAAAAACAAAAAUAGCAACAAGAAUACAUCCACAAAACACAGUGCUAGCAACUUGUAUCGAAAGCAAUUCAAAGCAAAUAAAAUAGCAGUGGCUAAGUGAACAAAAAAAAAAGAAGAAAAAGAAAUACUGCGCAAAGGCCGAAAACCAACCAAACAACAAAUGAGAUAAAGCAAAUUUUGUUCAAAUAUCCGAUGAAGAGGAAACAGUUAACUUGAGGUUCAUUUCUGUUGUGAAUUUUAAAUGAAAUGUUCGAAGGCUUUUAUACUCUUAUAUAUUUUAUAGAAGUUUUUUUUUCGUUUUAUGCUUUGCAUAGAAGUUUUUCAAAGGACAUUUAUUGACAUUUGAAUUUUGCUAGCUUGUAUUUCGUUGAAAUUGAUAUUUUGUUUGUCGUUCUUUGAUUUGUAAUCAUGCGACAUGGAUAUAUUUUAAUCUAGGAAUGUAAGAAACUAAGCGCCAUCCGAAUAAAAGAAAAUGAAAAUACACAGACACACACACACACACACACAAGGAAAAAACAUGGAAAUGUUCCAUUCAAAUGGAAAAUUGAGUCCUAUGGGAGAAAUUGGAGUGCGAAUAUUUAACAUGAUUUUGAGCAUGAGCAUGAAACUCAUUCCCAAUAAUAUCACGAUAUUUACUGACUGAAAUAAUCGGUGCAAAGCAGAGUGACACACACAUAGAUUUUCCCUCCUCAUUUUAAUUUGUUUCUGCGAUAGUCUAUUCGCAUUCAAUAUUUACUAGAAUGGACAUAUUUCAUUUAUUUUGGAGUGUUUCAUGUUCGUUGUUAUUUCAGUGACAGCCAAAUUCUGUUAAACACAUUUAAAUCAUGGUCUUUUGUCAAUUAAAAUAUAAAACUGCAUACAUCACCAUUAGUUAAAGAAUUGAAACUUCAAUCCAAACAAACGAAAAAUGGAGAAAAAAGACAUACGGAAAUUCAGAAAAUAGAAACCCAAUAUCUCAAUACAUACCAACCAAUUACCAAACUAAGAAGCAUGCCGAAACAAUGGCAAGCGAAUGGAACAGAGAAUAAGCACAAGAGUAGAAGACGGUCAACAACCAAGUAUUAACUAACGCACAUAGUAAAUUUUACUUAAGAUGUUAUUUCAUUAAUUGAAAAAAAUACGGAGAAAAAAAAAAAAAGCAAAUGUACAGAAAAUUGUAAUUAUUGUUAAAGAACUUUAUUUCUAAAUGAGCAUCGGACUUCAAAUACAGAGAGCCACCAUGAGCAAACAACCAACAAAUAAAUAAACCACAACAACAACAACAACAACAACAACAAACAAAGCAAAAGCAUGUGAAUAGCAAAUAAGCCAGAAAAUGAAAUAUGUAAGGGAUUAGAAAGUAAAAAGUGCAGUUUUUUUUUCUGAUAAGACAAACCGCUUGGAAUCUCCAUUCAUUAACAAACGACGCUUAUACAACAAAUGCGAACAACGCACAAACGCGUUCGAUCCAACGGAGAUCCAGCAUCUUUGUGGAAUCCUCUAAGUAAAGUUUUCCGUUCAAUAUGAAGUGAGAAACCGCACAAAUCUUACGGGCAUAAAGCUCGGUCAUUUCCAUUCAAGUCAUUUCGUUUGAAUGUCUUUGAAUUUUCCCAAUACAAAUUCAGAACAAAAAACAUAUACACAAAAGCCUAACGAAACAAUAAACAGACGUGUCGACACCUAACAUUGUUGACAAAUGUGAAUAUUAUUAAUACAAAUUUAAAACAUACAAAAAGAUGAUAGACACCAUCAAUAAUCGAUUAUUUGUACAGCUUGUGGUCAAAGUUCAUCUAAGACAGAAUAAUUCCAAAAUUGUUAAAUUGUGAACUUGUGUGGAGAUGCGACGAAUUGUGUGGAGAUAGUCUAGAACAGUUCCUAAAAGCAUGUGUACUUAUAGUAAUCAUUGCGCGCGCGCACAUUUGUAGGCUUACCAUUGUAUCUGUUUUCGUUUAUCUCCACACCACACAACUCAACAAAUCUCCGCACAAGUCCAUAGUGUUCAACCAUACGAUUUCUUGGACUAAGGUGACCAACUCCUCCAGAAAAAAAAUCCGUACAUUUUUCAAUUUGUAUGGAUUUUUCGGUUCAACUGGCAAAAAUUGUUUAAAAAAUCCGUACAAAUCCGUUUAAAGUAUUUAGUUCACGAAAAAAAUCAGUACUGCACGGAUUUUUGGACGAAAAAGCCCAAAAAAUCCGUACGGUUGGUCACCUUAUCUUAGGCCAAAUCGGCUCGCGACACAUAUUUCUACAAUACGAAUACAUCGAUUUAAAUACUUAGAAAACCACAUGCCAGUGCUAACAGAAAAAAAAAAACUUGACACAUAAAAUAAUUUGCACCUAUUUCAUAAAUCAUUAUCGAUUUGUCUAACCCCCGAAAAACAACAACAACAAAUGGCACCAAAACGCAGUACAGUUUUGAUUUUGUUUCCCAUUUAAUUUAUAUGCUACGUCGAGUAAUGAAGGGUAGAAACGUAGAUUGUUACCGAAAGAAAGAAGAAAAGAAGACAGAAGGAAAGAGAAAAGAAAAGAGAGAUGUUGAAACAUUAUUAUAGUUUAAAGAAAUUAAUAAUUGAAUAGAGAGCUAUAUAAACAAUUAAUCGACGUAAAUUUAGAUUAUUUGAAGGGUAAAACAAUAAAUAUCUAUAUGAAAAAAAAAAA